AAGUCGAACGGAGUGACCCAUUGAAGUUGGAGUGCUGACACAAAGACGGAUUGGAUUUCACUCAGUGGCAGACGGUGGAGUAACGCGUGGGUAAUCUACCUCAAAGACUGGGAUAACUUCUGGAAACGGAUGCUAAUACCGGAUGAUUCAUAUUUAGAUAACUAGAUAUGCUAAAAGGAGCUUUUGCUUCACUUUGAGAUGAGCUUGCGUUGUAUUAGCUAGUUGGUGGGGUAAUGGCCUACCAAGGCAACGAUGCAUAUCCGAGCUGAGAGGCUGAUCGGACACAUUGGGACUGAGACACGGCCCAGACUCCUACGGGAGACAGCAGUUAGGAAUAUUCGUCAAUGGGGGAAACCCUGAACGAGCAAUGCCGCGUGAAUGAAUGACAAUCCUCUGGAUUGUAAAGUUCUGUUGUAAAGGAAGAAACCUUACUAUAGGUAAUGAUAGUAAGCUGACGGUACUUUACCAGAAAGCCCCGGCUAACUACGUGCCAGCAGCUGC
rnacentral:rRNA from 1 species